rnacentral:lncRNA from 1 species
UUUCCAAAUACAUGAGAAGUAUAAGAGAAAGUUCCUAUUCAGAGAUUUUAUAAUUAAAAGGUUGAAAAAUAAAAAUAAUUUUGAAUAGACCAACAAAUAUGAAACAAAGUGCAAUAUGCUAGAAUGCACACGUGAGAAUAAUGGUUUUUAGGGACUUAGAGCAGUUCCUUAGACGAAGCGGGUUGACUUCCUGAGCGUGUCUUAUCUAUAAAUUUUGGCUCCAGUGCAUGUCUCCUCUUUCACCUCCCAGUGAAAAUAAAAAUGAAUUUAUGAUAAACUGAUAAAAAAUGUACAGGCUAUGUGAC